rnacentral:rRNA from 1 species
AACGAACGCUGGCGGCAUGCCUAACACAUGCAAGUCGAACGAGACCUUCGGGUCUAGUGGCGCACGGGUGCGUAACGCGUGGGAACCUGCCCUUAGGUUCGGAAUAACUCCCCGAAAGGGGUGCUAAUACCGGAUAAUGUCUUCGGACCAAAGAUUUAUCGCCUUUGGAUGGGCCCGCGUUGGAUUAGCUAGUUGGUAGGGUAAAAGCCUACCAAGGCGACGAUCCAUAGCUGGUCUGAGAGGAUGAUCAGCCACACUGGGACUGAGACACGGCCCAGACUCCUACGGGAGGCAGCAGUGGGGGAUAUUGGACAAUGGGCGAAAGCCUGAUCCAGCAAUGCCGCGUGAGUGAUGAAGGCCUUAGGGUUGUAAAGCUCUUUUACCCGGGAUGAUAAUGACAGUACCGGGAGAAUAAGCACCGGCUAACUCCGUG